AAUAUUGCGCAAUGGAGGGAACUCUGACGCAGCGACGCCGCCCGAGCGAAGAAGGUCGUCGGAUCNUUAAUCUCUGUCUUUUGGGCNGAAGGGCUUCGGGCUUGACGGUACCUAAUGAUGAAGCCCUUGCCAACUACGUGCCAGCAGCCGCCGUAAUACGUAGGGGGCAAGCGGUGUCCGGAAUUAUUGGGCGUAAAGGGUGCGUAGGCGGGCUUUUAAGUAAGAUGUGGAAGACCACGGCUUAACUGUGGGACUGCAUUUGAAACUGGAGGGCUUGAGUGUAGGGGAGGGCAGUGGAAUUCCCAGUGUAGCGGUGGAAUGCGUAGAUAGUGGGAGGAACACCAGUGGAGAAGGCGACUGCCUGGACGAUAACUGACGCUGAGGCACGAAAGCUAGGGGAGCAAAC
rnacentral:rRNA from 1 species